rnacentral:rRNA from 1 species
GAGUUUGAUCGUGGCUCAGAUUGAACGCUGGCGGCAGGCCUAACACAUGCAAGUCGAGCGGUAGAGAGAAGCUUGCUUCUCUUGAGAGCGGCGGACGGGUGAGUAAUGCCUAGGAAUCUGCCUGGUAGUGGGGGAUAACGCUCGGAAACGGACGCUAAUACCGCAUACGUCCUACGGGAGAAAGCAGGGGACCUUCGGGCCUUGCGCUAUCAGAUGAGCCUAGGUCGGAUUAGCUAGUUGGUGAGGUAAUGGCUCACCAAGGCGACGAUCCGUAACUGGUCUGAGAGGAUGAUCAGUCACACUGGAACUGAGACACGGUCCAGACUCCUACGGGAGGCAGCAGUGGGGAAUAUUGGACAAUGGGCGAAAGCCUGAUCCAGCCAUGCCGCGUGUGUGAAGAAGGUCUUCGGAUUGUAAAGCACUUUAAGUUGGGAGGAAGGGCAGUAAAUUAAUACCUUGCUGUUUUGACGUUACCGACAGAAUAAGCACCGGCUAACUCUGUGCCAGCCGCCG